GACAGAGGGGGCAAGCGUUGCUCGGAAUUAUUGGGCGUAAAGAGCUCGUAGGCGGUUUGUUGCGUCGGCUGUGAAAUCCCGAGGCUCAACCUCGGGUCUGCAGUCGAUACGAGCAAACUAGAGUGUUGCAGGGGAGACUGGAAUUCCUGGUGUAGCGGUGGAAUGCGCAGAUAUCAGGAGGAACACCAAUGGCGAAGGCAGAUCUCUGGGCCGUAACUGACGCUGAGGAGCGAAAGCAUGGGGAGCGAACAGG
rnacentral:rRNA from 1 species